UAUAGAUCAAGGACCAUGCCAAAAGAGCUUGUUGAUGAAAGUUUGAGAGUUUAAUUGGGAUUUUCUGAAUAUUGUAGUUGCAGAGAAGAAUAAAGUCCAAGCCACCCAAAUGUGAAAAGAUAUGAUGAGAGAUGAAGUUCCAGAUGGAGUUAGGGUUUUUGAGAUGUUUUUUAAUCCAAUUCAUUUUGAAAGUAUAAUUCAGGGAGCUGAAAUCUACAAAAUUUAAGCCACCAUUGUUAUAAUUGUUCAUAACUAUGGAUUUGCGAAUGUAGUGAAUUUUGUUUUUCCACAGAAAAUUAAAUAACAAUUUAUCAACAGAUUUGCAUGUAGAGUUAUCGACAUGUAAAGAUUGAGCAGCAUAGGUCAGGUGAGACAAACCCUCAGCCUUGGUGAGCAGCAUUCUACCCUUUAGGGACAAAUCCUAAUUUGCAACCAAUUGUUGAGGACAUUUGAGUUUUAUUGAUGAUAAGGUUAAAGUUUAGAGCGUUCCUAGAAUUCUUAUCUUUGGUAAUAAGGAUUCCCAAAUAUGUUACACAACUUUUCACUGGGAUCCCGGAAACACAGGACACAGUACACUUGUUCACUUGUAGCAGUUCACACUUACUGAGGUUAAGGGAGAGGCCAGAUGCUCUGGAGAAAGUACCACAAGGAAGUUUAAAUAGAACUAUUACCAUUAGUAUAAAGGGUCUUGACACAAUUACUAAAAAAGGUACCAGUGAUAAAAUAAACUUGUGUUCUACAGAGUCAAAUGCUUUGUAGAAGUCCAAAAAAGCAUGAUGCUUUCAUCUUUAACAAGCUCAGAGUAGUCUAAGAUAUCUAAGAUCAGUCUUAUAUUAUUAGAGAUAUGUCGAUUUGGCAUAAACCCUGACUACCACUCAUCAAUAAGAGGGUCUAGUACUAAUUUCAGUCUUUUGGCUAGUAAGAGUGCUAAGAUUUUAUAAUCAUUAUUUAAUAGAGAUAUUGGUCGCCAGUUGUCCAGUAAGAGUGGGUCUUUCCUGGGUUUAGGGAUGAGCGUAAUCAAACUUUGGCAUAAUAUCGGGGGGAGUGAGCCUUUAUUUAUACUUUUCAUGUAAACUUUUAGGAAGGGGGUCAAGAUAUCGGAAUUUUUUUUUUUUUUUUAUAAAAUUCUGUCGUUAAACCAUCAGGACCUGGGGAUUUAUUCGAUUUAGCUGACUUACUGCAUCUGAAACUUCUUUUAAAGAGACUGGUCUGUCACAGAAAUCACUGUCCUCUUUGGACAGCUGGUUCACAUUAGGGAUGGAGUCAAAGAACUGAGAAACCGACUUCUGACAAAAUUUGGAAGUGUAGAGAUUACUGUAAAACUUUGCGCAGAAGUUGGCGUAGAAUUUUCUUUGGCUCAUCAGUGAUUGUGUCACGGUCCUGGGUCGGUGACCCAGUGCUUUGAGUUUCUUGUGUCUCAGGGUUUUCGUAUUAUGAUCUUAGUUCUCUUUGUUGCCCCAGUGUCUUAGUUUGGGUUUCUUGUAUUCUGUUUAGUUUUCUGAGUAUUUAGUAGCUGCCCUCUGUCUCCUUUUUGUCGGUCUCUGUGUUUCUUAGUUGCUCUGUUUCCCCGGUCAAGUCCAUGUCCGUGUUACAUUUCCUGUUUUACUUUGAAGGUCUGUGUCCUACGUGAAUGUAUUGAGUUUCGCUUCCCUUGGGUCUCGUUAUGUCUGAUUUCUCCCAGCUGUGCUCCCCUUCUGUGUCUCAUUCCCCUCGUUAUUUCCCAGUGUAUUUAAGCCCUGUGUUUCUCUGUGUCAGUGUUGUGAUCUCCCUCAUGCUGUGUGGUUCUUCCCGGUUUAGGUUUUGUAGAGUUUUCUGUUCAGCAAUAAAAGCUGCCGUUUUGAGUUCAGUCCUGUUUCUAGUGAGUUUGCGUUUGGGUCCAAUUCCUGCCUGCACACAGCCGGAUCAUGACCGAUUGAGCCAUCAAUUUUUAAAUACUGAAUUGAAUUGUUUCAUGACUUCUGCCUUUCUAACCUAAAAAAGUAAGCAGAACUUUGCUCGCCUUCUUCAAGCCAUCGCCUGUGCGACCUGACAAAGGCUCCCUCAGCUCUUCACUUGUAAAUCUCAUCAAGCCUAUGCUGCUGCACAACAAGCUCUGCUUUUUCAGACUCAUUGAGAGUGUCUGGAAGUUUUGAGGCCAUAAAGCUUAAGAUUCCAGCGAUGCGAGUAACUCUCCAGGCAGGAAAGCCGUUUCUCUUGUGUGCCACGGGUUUCUUGAAAUUUGGGCAUCCGACCUGUUGUUGAUCAGUGAGGAUUGCUGUGGAUUCCACGUCAGCAAUCCUUCUCUGUUUGACCGCUGGAGAUUUAGAUGGUGUAGCGGGAAGGGGUGGAAAAUCCUCAUCCAUUUCAGAUACCAGCACUAGGAUCCGAGCCGAGGUAGUCGUGCAUGUUUUCGGCAAGAUUCCUAGUUUCGGAAUGUUCGUCGUGCACUGCAGCAGCCUGGAUGCUAAUGGAGUUAUCAUUAGCCACUGACUUGCGUGCUUCUGCCUUUCUUUUCUCAGAACUUUUCAUAAUGACUCGGUGAUGGGAACCAACCAAGGAGGGGGGAACACAGAUAUCGAUGAAUAAAACAGUAAUUAGGUAUUUAAUAAUAAUUUAGUAAUUAGGCUUUGAGCUGACCAAUGAGCCGAAUUUACAGCCUUUUGAUGAGUGAAGCGCCCAGAGUUUUUGAAAUCAACCAAGACAACUUUGCAGACUCUCCAGAAAUACACAAGCCCUUAACUGCCCUGCAACCCCGUGUUUCUGGUCCCAUCACCACAUUCAGGCGUUUUUCCACUUAAAACAUCACUUUUUGAGAGAUAUUUUUUUUGAUAAAUUGCCAAAGAGUCAUUUUUACCCCCCAGUACAGUAGACUCUGCAUUUGGAUCUGAGGAGAGCAGCGGACACAAGUGAUUGUGAAGAAGUCACUGACAUUUGGUGGCAGGCCUUAGAUAAUUGUGAGUUAUUGUGUCUGAUGGUGAAAAACACAAAGUUUUGGAAGAGGCAUACAGGCACUGUGGAAAAAGCAAAGGUGUGUACAUUCUGUAAAAAUGUUUUUGUAAACACUUUUCUGCUUAUAUUAUGCUUUGAAAAUGUGAUACAUAUGUGAUAAUCAAAGAACAUGAUUUUUUUUUUUUAAAACCUUUAUUCUUACGCUUUGAAAGUAUGUCAGAUUAUCCUAAACACUUAUUUGUAUGUAUGUUACACUGUGUAAUUUUUUUUAUAGAAACCUUGUUCAUUGUAUGACUGUGUAAUUAUCUAUCUUUGAUAAAUAAAAUAUUUAAUCUUGUAUUUGUGUACUUUGUGGUUAUUGAAUAAAAAAAAUUGUGACACAUUGCACUGAUAAACACAGAUGACUAAAAGAAAUGUUUGAUGGUAAAACGGAAACAAGUGUUGUGCUGCUAACUUUGAGGUUCUAAGUCACCAACGUUUAGAUAAGAAAAUGCAUAGAGGAAACUUGCAGCCCUGAGUCCAUAUGUAAAACAUGGAAACUUCAUAGGAGUGAUACUUGUUCUUACAUAGGUGCACUUAUUCUUUGUUAUGGCACUUUACUGUUCCAAUCAA